CAGAAAUUAGUUUAUUUUAAAAUAAUAAUUUUGGAGAUUAUUGAUAAAUGUUUAAUUUGUUUCUGA
rnacentral:tRNA from 1 species